GCCGGGCCAUGGUGGCGCAUGCCUGUAGUCCCAGCUAUUCAGGAGGUUGAGGCUGGAGGAUCGCUUGAGCCCAGGAGUUCUGGGCUGUAGUGCGCUAUGCCGAUCGGGUGUCUGCACUAAGUUCGGCAUCAAUAUGGUGACCUCCCGGGAGCGGGGGACCACCAGGUUGCCUAAGGAGGGGCGAACCGGCCCAGGUCAGAAACAGAGCAGGUCAAAAAACUCACGUGCUUAUCAGUAGUGUGAUCUCGCCUGUGAAUAGCCACUGCACUGCAGCCUGGGCAACAUAGCAAGACCCCGUCUCU
rnacentral:SRP_RNA from 1 species